UAGAAAAGAUACAAGGUGAAUAUGAAAAACCAUAAUAGUCUUUGACAUAAUGAUCUAUUUAAGUUCUAAUAUUUUAUCUUUAUAAAUCUUCAGCUGGAGAACACAAUCUGAUUACUUCCUUUGGCAAAUGUUAUCACCUGUCAUGAUUAAUCUGUAUAAAUAUUUCCUUUGUUGGGUCAAUGGAUUUUGCAAUUUGCAUGCAGGUUGUGUUUCCCGAGGGGAGGGGGGGGGGUGAUAAAGAAGUGUUUCCAUGGCAACUUUCCAGCAUUAUUGAUGUGUCCAACAAUUGAUAUAGGUAAGAAAGUUCUAUGUGAGACAACAUUAACUUUCUUGUUUAAAUUCAUCCCUGAUGUUUGCGUUGGUGUUUUUAUAUUUUUGUGAUACCUGUCCACAUCAAACUUAUCAUCACACACCAUAAACAGUUCAAUGUUCUUUGUUUAUAUAGAGCCCCUCCAAUGCGAUUCAAUGUUUCUAUGGUAACUGCUAUGCAGAAUCUGUUCAAGUUUUGAGGGAAUCAGGAAAAGUAACAGGUCUUCUGUUUAAACUUGUUCAGAAGGAAACAGCUUCGGUACAUUACCAGACCUGAAUAAAAAAGUUGUUGAAAGAACGGUUUAAUUUGGAGACACGUGUCAGGAUGUCAUGACGUGUUUUGGUUCACCUUGUAAAGUAUUUUAUAAAGCUGAAGAUAAGAUGCGUAUCCAUUCUCC